AUAAAAACAUAUCUAUACCUGUCUGUGUAUUUUUGUGAUGACCAAGUCUAUAGUCAAACACCAUGAUACACAUUUAUUAUAUCAGCUGGAAGGGCUCAUUCCAUAUCAUUGUUUAAAUAUCCUAGAUUGCUAAAAUUCAGUCAUAAUCCUAUUCAAUCCAAUUCUGCGUAUUUGCUGGGUACCAAUUGCAAGACAUUCCAUCCAGUUGUAAGCAACUGAAAUUUGCCUUGACUUUUGCCAACAGCAAAAAGGCAGACAUGCGUGUUCUGGCUAUAUCAAGGUGGAAAUCGGUCCUGUGUUCUCUUCUAGGGAUCUGCUGGAGGAAGGAAAGGCCACAGUUCCCUGCCUGGCAGAAAAACUUACCAGCGAGCUCAUCACACACAUCUGUAAAUCUCUGCCCCUGUUAGAAAAUCAAAUCAAGGAGAGU
rnacentral:sRNA from 1 species